rnacentral:rRNA from 1 species
UACGUAGGAUCCAAGCGUUAUCCGGAUUUAUUGGGUUUAAAGGGUGCGUAGGCGGCCUGUUAAGUCAGGGGUGAAAGACGGUGGCUCAACCAUCGCAGUGCCCUUGAUACUGACGGGCUUGAAUGGACUAGAGGUAGGCGGAAUGAGACAAGUAGCGGUGAAAUGCAUAGAUAUGUCUCAGAACACCGAUUGCGAAGGCAGCUUACUAUGGUCUUAUUGACGCUGAGGAGCGAAAGCGUGGGGAGCGAACAGG